rnacentral:rRNA from 1 species
GACGAACGCUGGCGGCGUGCUUAACACAUGCAAGUCGAACGGAAAGGCCUCUUUCGGGGGGUACUCGAGUGGCGAACGGGUGAGUAACACGUGAGUAACCUGCCCUUGACUUUGGGAUAACUUCAGGAAACUGGGGCUAAUACCGGAUAGGAGCUCCUGCUGCAUGGUGGGGGUUGGAAAGUUUCGGCGGUUGGGGAUGGACUCGCGGGUUAUCAGCUUGUUGGUGGGGUAGUGGCUUACCAAGGCUUUGACGGGUAGCCGGCCUGAGAGGGUGACCGGCCACAUUGGGACUGAGAUACGGCCCAGACUCCUACGGGAGGCAGCAGUGGGGAAUAUUGCACAAUGGGUGGAAGCCUGAUGCAGCAACGCCGUGUGCGGGAUGACGGCCUUCGGGUUGUAAACCGCUUUCGCUCAUGACGAAGCUUUGUGUGACGGUAGUGGGUAAAGAAGCACCGGCUAACUACGUG